GUACAGAGGUCUCCUGUACAAGGUCAGGCUGCAGGACCAGGGCAGAAAGGCUGGUCUCCUGACUUGAGAGUGUCAGGGACAAGUGGCUCGUUCCCAGGGUCUGCUUCAACAAGACGGUUCCUGCCCAGUCCCAGGCCACUGCUGAGAUGGAACUGUGACAAGGCUGAUACCGAGGAGAGAAAUGCAGUCAUGGGUCACAGGGACUCACUGUCUGGGAGGGAGGAAGAACAUCCAUGCCAGAUAGAAGGCUGAUUAGAAAGACAUAUGGAGAGGAUGAGAGACGUGGAAGGAGGUGAGGACAAUGUUGUUACUGAUGGAGACAGUGAUGAGGAUGGC
rnacentral:lncRNA from 1 species